rnacentral:rRNA from 1 species
CAGGAGUGGAAGUACAGUGAUGUAUGGAGCGGACUGAUACUAAUCGAUCGAGGACUUAACCACA